ensembl:lncRNA
GAGGGACAAGAGGAACUGAGGUCAGAUGCUGUGCCCACCAUUAUCGGGGUCUCCAAACAGCCAUUAGACUCAGAGGAGCCGUUAUUCCACCCCUCAUCUCUGGAGGACCUGUUGACAUGCGCCGCGGCCACAGCAGAGGUGUGUCCAGUGGGCUUCAGCUCGGUGCAGAGUGAGCCCCCUUUCCAGGAGCACCAGUACAGCCUCAGAGUACCAGACCGCCACCCCAGAGAAGCCCCAGACCCAGUGCAGGAGUCCAGGCAGAGCGCAUCAUUCACCACAUACAACCACAUCGCCAGGUAUCUGAGCCACAGGAUACUUCCUCAACAAACUAAGAAGAGAAAAGGCUCUCUGAGGAGGAUGGCCAAGCGCUUCACUCUCAUUGACGGAGUCCUCUACUACAACCUGCGCUCUCCUCCAGUCAGAGUCCCCCGCAGCAGAGAGGAGGUGAACGCGAUCCUGCAGCAGUUCCAUGAUAAUAGCGGUCACUAUGGACACGGCACCUGUUUUAAAGCCAUUGUAAAGCAUUAUUACUGGUACUCCAUGAGCAGAGACCUGUCGUGUUGGAUCUCACGCUGCCCCACCUGCCUCAGCCGCUCCAAGAGGAAGUGGCUCCGCUGCAGCAUCAUGACCUGCACCAACUGCUGUGGACCAGUGGAGAGGAAGUUGGGGCUCACCUUCCACAA